rnacentral:rRNA from 1 species
UUGGAGGGCAAGUCUGGUGCCAGCAGCCGCGGUAAUUCCAGCUCCAAUAGCGUAUAUUAAAGUUGUUGCAGUUAAAAAGCUCGUAGUUGAAUUUCGGGAUCGACGGGUCGGUCGCGCCUCUGGUGUGUACUGGCCCUGUCGGUUUCUCCCUUCUGACGAACCACGAUGUCAUUAAUUUGGUGUCGUGGGAAAUCAGGACUGUCACUUUGAAAAAAUUAGAGUGUUUAAAGCAGGCAUUCGCUUGAAUACAUUAGCAUGGAAUAAUGAAAUAGGACGUUUGAUCUUAUUUUGUUGGUUUCUAAGAUCGACGUAAUGAUUAAUAGGGAUAGCUGGGGGCAUUAGUAUUCAAUUGUCAGAGGUGAAAUUCUUGGAUUUAUUGAAGACUAACUACUGCGAAAGCAUUUGCCAAGGAUGUUUUCAUUAAUCAAGAACGAAAGUUAGGGGAUCGAAGACGAUCAGAUACCGUCGUAGUCUUAACCAUAAACUAUGCCGACUAGGGAUCGGAUGAUGUUAAUUUUUUAAUGACUCAUUCGGCGCCUUACGGGAAACCAAAGUGUUUGGGU